CCUACGGGAGGCAGCAGUAGGGAAUUUUGCGCAAUGGGCGAAAGCCUGACGCAGCAACGCCGCGUGAUUGAUUAAGCUCCUCGGGGUGUAAAGAUCCGUCUGUGGGGGCGAAACUUGACGGUACACACAGAGGAAGCACCGGCUAACUCCGUGCCAGCAGCCGCGGUCAUACGGAGGGUGCAAGCGUUGUCCGGAAUCACUGGGCGUAAAGGGUUCGUAGGUGGCAUAUUAAGUCUAGUGUUAAAUGCAGAAGCUCAACUUCUGUUCGGCACUGGAUACUGGUAAGCUUGAAUGCGGUAGAGGUAAGGGGAAUUCCUAGUGUAGCGGUGAAAUGCGUAGAUAUCAGGAGGAACAUCGGUGGCGUAGGCGCUAUACUGGGGCGUAUUUGACACUGAGGAACGAAAGCCGGGGUAGCAAAUGGGAUUAGAUACCCCUGUAGUC
rnacentral:rRNA from 1 species